rnacentral:rRNA from 1 species
UGAGGAAUCUGUCCAUCGGCGGGGGAUAGCCGGCCCAACGGCCGGGUAAUACCGCGUACGUCGGCGGGAGCGCAUGCUCCUGCCGGGAAAGCAGCAAUGCACCGAUGGAGGAUCUCGCGGCCUAUCAGCUUGUUGGUGAGGUAACGGCUCACCAAGGCGACGACGGGUAGCUGGUCUGAGAGGAUGGCCAGCCACAUUGGGACUGAGACACGGCCCAGAUCCGUACGGG